rnacentral:SRP_RNA from 1 species
GCUGGGCGUGGUGGUGGGCGCCUGUAAUCCCAGCUACUCUGGAGGCUGAGGCAGAAGAAUUGCUUGAACCCGGGAGGCGGAGGUUGCAGUGAGCUGAGAUCGUGUCACUGCACUCCAGCCUGGGCGACAGAGCAAGACUCUGCCUCUC